GUCAGCGCCUGGGAGGCGGGAAGUUUAGCUCGGUCCCUGGAGGCUCCUCGUCCCGCGGUGCGGACUCCGCAGAGAACAGCCGCGAGCCACAGCUCCUGCAGUCAAGUGGAUCUGUGAUGAUUUCAGCCUUCAUUCUUAAAGAAAAAUUUUGGACUUCACAACAUCCCCUGACAAUGAGUUCCACAGUUCUCAUCUGCUUGUUUGGCGGAUUCUCACACAGCCACCUCCAUGUCUUUUCCCAUGCAGCCACCUUGGCAUGUUACAAGCUCCCUGAGCUCAUCCACAAGGUCUCUACCCUGUCCACAUUCAAGUCCCUCCUAAAGACCCACCUCAGCCAUGCUGUCUAGAGUGACUCUUGAUGAUUUUUAAAUAAAAAGUUUGUAACUUGCCUGUUGUUAUUUCCCUUCCUCAGACCUCUGUUCGUAGGUAGGGAACACCUCCUAUCAGGGACUGUCCUCAUUAAGUGUUUGGAAAGUGCCUAAUAUACAGUGGGCACCACUGCAAAUAAAUUAUGAAGAAUAAAUCA